rnacentral:tRNA from 1 species
GCGCCUAUAGCUCAGCUGGAUAGAGCACACGCCUUCUAAGCGUGCGGUCGCAGGUUCGAAUCCUGCUGGGCGCACCA